UAAUAAAAUGUAAUAACUGCUACUUUUUGGUCAGGGUAGCAGGGGCUUCAGUGACACCUUGAAACACUAAGUGGAGAGAGAAAUACACCCUGGACAGGGCAUCAGUCAGCUGCAGGCACAUCCAAUUGCCCAAUUGCAUCAUGCUUUCUCUCCACCAAUGCCGAUCCCAGCUCUGAUUGAGAAGAACGAAGCUAACCCACGCCCCCUUCAACAUGUGGGCAAAAAAUCCAAAACAAAUGUGGGCACCUUUCACUAAUAACUCAAUCACUUUUGGCACAGAGAACUCAGUGUUUGUUAACCCUUCAUGAUCAACAUUUCUAAGGGCAUAUUUUUUUAUGAAUAUGAAACAAUGAUGUAAAAUGAUGAAGGAAUGUAAGAGUGACUGGGGAAUGUGAGAAUUGAGGUCACCCAAGAAUUCAUUUGGAAAUAAUGGUAUUUAAAAGACGUUUGGUAUUUAAACGACGGGAUAUUCCACUAGCACACCAGCGCUGAGAUUCUGAACUCCUUGGUUCAAAAUUCGGCGUUGCCACCGGUCAGCUGGGCGCCAUCUAGCAGGCAUAAUUGGCAGUGCCUGCAGGGCGGGAUGACCGGACUAUGUGGGUGGGGUCUUUAAACGCUGUGUAAGGACCCUGAUUGGCAGAUAGAGAGGCAUCUGUGCAGAAUGAAUAAGUUAAAAAGGGUUCCGCUAAGGGCUGUGUGCGGGUUGGAUGAGGCAUGACCAGCAAUAUACCCACCUCAACUGCAAUCAGGGAUCCCCAGCAGUAGAAGACAAAUGACUACUCUAAAUUGGGAGAAAAUGCAUAAAUAAAAUUUAAAAAAGACAUCAUCAUUGAACAAUAAUAAAUAAAUAAAAAAAAAUAAUGAUGUUCAGAUUGAUGCUAAAUUGUACAAAUUGGUAGCUAUAAACGAUAAUUAGGGUAUAAAAAUGGUAGGGUAUAAAAGACCCUGCACAUUCUCAAGCUUCUGAGUUGCUUCUGGAAUCAGCCCAGUUUGUUUUGGAUUGUAAUAGCCUUAAUAAAAUCAUUGAUUAUUUUUCUACA